UACGUAGGGGGCAAGCGUUGUCCGGAAUCAUUGGGCGUAAAGAGCGUGUAGGCGGCCCGAUAAGUCCGCUGUGAAAGUCGGGGGCUCAACCCUCGAAUGCCGGUGGAUACUGUCGGGCUAGAGUGCGGGAGAGGCGAGUGGAAUUCCUGGUGUAGCGGUGAAAUGCGCAGAUAUCAGGAGGAACACCAAUUGCGAAGGCAGCUCGCUGGAACGUAACUGACGCUGAGACGCGAAAGCGUGGGGAGCAAACAGG
rnacentral:rRNA from 1 species